rnacentral:miRNA from 1 species
GGGCUCCUCGCCCCCUCCCUUGGUCGCCGGCUGUCGGUCCUUUUGUCAGUCUGUGUCUGGGGAGGGGAACAGGGGCUC